rnacentral:rRNA from 1 species
UACAGAGGUCUCAAGCGUUGUUCGGAUUCAUUGGGCGUAAAGGGUGCGUAGGUGGCGCUGUAAGUCGGGUGUGAAAUUUCGGAGCUUAACUCCGAAACUGCAUUCGAUACUGCGGUGCUUGAGGACUGGAGAGGAGACUGGAAUUCAUGGUGUAGCAUGAAAUGCGUAGAUAUCGUAAGGAAGACCGUGGCGAAGGCGGGU